rnacentral:rRNA from 1 species
UAUACGCCCUUAGGGGGAAAGAUUUAUCGGUGAAAGAUCGGCCCGCGUUAGAUUAGCUAGUUGGUAAGGUAAGAGCUUACCAAGGCUACGAUCUAUAGCUGGUCUGAGAGGACGACCAGCCACACUGGGACUGAGACACGGCCCAGACUCCUACGGGAGGCAGCAGUGGGGAAUAUUGCACAAUGGGCGAAAGCCUGAUGCAGCCAUGCCGCGUGAAUGAUGAAGGCCUUAGGGUUGUAAAAUUCUUUCGCUAGGGAUGAUAAUGACAGUACCUAGUAAAGAAGCCCCGGCUAACUUCGUGCCAGCAGCCGCGGUAAUACGAAGGGGGCUAGCGUUGUCCGGAAUUACUGGGCGUAAAGCGCACGUAGGCGGAUUAUUAAGUCAGAUGUGAAAUCCCAAGGCUCAACCUUGGAACUGCAUUUGAAACUGGUAAUCUAGAGAUCAGGAGAGGUUAGUGGAAUACCGAGUGUAGAGGUGAAAUUCGUAGAUAUUCGGUGGAACACCAGUGGCGAAGGCGACUAACUGGACUGAUACUGACGCUGAGGUGCGAAAGUGUGGGGAGCAAACAGGAUUAGAUACCCUGGUAGUCCACACCGUAAACGAUGAGAGCUAGUUGUCUGCA